CCCACAUAGAAAACCGUCUACGAAAUGAAAGCGUCACUUGGAGGUCGAGAAUCACUGACCAAGAAAUCCUGACGAAUAAUAUAAAACUCACUCGCGAAGAUGAAUUAAAAGAAAAUAAUACUUUGCCGUUGCCUCUCGUAUGUAUAGCCUAACGAAGCGGGAAGCGGUCAAUAGCUUGCCAGUCGACACGUGGAGGCAGAAGCAAGCAGGCAGGCAACGGCAACAGCAGCAGCAGCAGUCUUAGAGACUUCGAACACAAAAUGGACGACCUGGUCGGCUGGCAUGCGAGGGCCAAACCGUUCGUCGCGCAAAUCUACCGCUAGCUAGAAUUAAUACUGUGCUGGUGCGGCGUGACUUUAGCUCUUGCAGCAGUCGUGCGAGUCCGGGACCGGGCGUCGUUCGUGCGCGUGUGCGUGUUCAGAGAAGAAAAACACGUUUGUAUUAGAGAAAGAACGUCUCACACAGCGGUGCAACGGAGAGGAGGAGAAUAAAGAAGAAGGGGACGAGUCGCUCGGUUUCGUAUUCUCCUCAGGGACUACGAUUCGUGCUGUGAACGAACGUCCGUGUGCGAAAGAACGGUACAAGCAAACAGUACAGGAGCCAGUGCCGCACAAUAGUAGAGACUAGAGAGCGGCCCGAGUGCCAGAAGUCCCGCGCCUAAUAAAUAUAGGAGCAUAAAACACGGAAUAACUUUUCCUCUUGUUUUCUAUUGCUUUCGAACUGUCUUUUCUUAAUUUUUGAUUUUCACUCAUUCUUUGUCUAUUUAUUUUAGAUCAAAGCACGAGGAUCAUUUUUUUUCCUUCUCUUCACGCUAUUACCAUUGAGUAACUAUACUUCGAACCGAAGUAUGGCUACUCAAUGCUGUUACUCUUGAAAACGUCUGUCGGAAAAGAUGGCAAUCAACCGAGCGCAACGAAACUACGCAAAAUCAUUCGGGUGACGAAUGUCCCAAAAGUUAGUUUUGAACAGAAAAAAAUAACUUUAUCUAAAAUGUUUAAUAGAGGCAAAGUACUAUGUAGAUAUCCUGCGACACCUCUAACUAAUUAUAAACUUUGGAUAAUUUCCAUUGGAUUUCAAACGGAUAUGAAGUUUGUUACGAAAGUCAAACAUACGGUAGACUUGUAGAGAUUAAAAGAAUUUGACUUUCGCAAUUAAAUGCAUAAAUCAUUGGAAAAAAUCAGGAAAAAAAACUGCGCGAGGCUGAGCAGAUGAAAGAAGUUUAAUC